rnacentral:rRNA from 1 species
UACAGGGGGUGCAAACGUUGCUCGGAAUUAUUGGGCGUAAAGCGCGCGUAGGCGGCCACUUAAGUCGGAUGUGAAAGCCCCUGGCUCAACUGGGGAAGUGCACCCGAAACUGAGUAGCUGGAGUACGAAAGAGGGUCGCGGAAUUCCCGGUGUAGAGGUGAAAUUCGUAGAUAUCGGGAGGAACACCGGUGGCGAAGGCGGCGACCUGGGUCGAUACUGACGCUGAGUGAGCGAAAGCCAGGGGAGCAAACGGG